rnacentral:rRNA from 1 species
UCGAGCGAAGCGCUUAAGUUUGAUUCUUCGGAUGAAGACUUUUGUGACUGAGCGGCGGACGGGUGAGUAACGCGUGGGUAACCUGCCUCAUACAGGGGGAUAACAGUUAGAAAUGACUGCUAAUACCGCAUAAGACCACGGUACCGCAUGGUACAGUGGUAAAAACUCCGGUGGUAUGAGAUGGACCCGCGUCUGAUUAGGUAGUUGGUGGGGUAACGGCCUACCAAGCCGACGAUCAGUAGCCGACCUGAGAGGGUGACCGGCCACAUUGGGACUGAGACACGGCCCAGACUCCUACGGGAGGCAGCAGUGGGGAAUAUUGCACAAUGGAGGAAACUCUGAUGCAGCGACGCCGCGUGAAGGAUGAAGUAUUUCGGUAUGUAAACUUCUAUCAGCAGGGAAGAAAAUGACGGUACCUGACUAAGAAGCCCCGGCUAACUACGUGCCAGCAGCCGCGGUAAUACGUAGGGGGCAAGCGUUAUCCGGAUUUACUGGGUGUAAAGGGAGCGUAGACGGCACGGCAAGCCAGAUGUGAAGCCCGGGGNCAACCCCGGGACUGCAUUUGGAACUGCUGAGCUAGAGUGUCGGAGAGGCAAGUGGAAUUCCUAGUGUAGCGGUGAAAUGCGUAGAUAUUAGGAGGAACACCAGUGGCGAAGGCGGCUUGCU